rnacentral:lncRNA from 1 species
UCAUAUCAAAACAUAUAUUCCUUGUUUUUAAUGCUUAAUUUUUUAUUUAGUUUCUAUUCAUGUGAUUUAUUUAAUUUAUAAUAAAUAUAAAUAAAAGAGUAGUUGAAAAUAAGGGUAAUAUUGUAAACUUAUACUAUCAGGGGGGUUUUUGGCCAUUAUAAAAACAGCAGGGGGGAAAAUGGUAUAUGUUGAUUGCUGUAAGGCGGAAAUUGGCAAUCUCCCUAUUCAAUACAAGGGCUGUUGAUAUUGAAAAUUUUGAGAAUGAGUGUUGAUUGAAUUGAUUCACACACAAUAUAAGGAUCCAAUGUGAGAUGAGGCUGACUAUUGAAUUAAAGUUAGAACUUUGUCAAUAUUUUUAAUUUUCUUUGAGCUAUAUACUUUAUGCAAUUUUUGACGCAUUUUUUAUGAUGUUUGUGGGUAUCAUUGUUGUGCAAAUUUUAUUGAACUCGCAAGUGCACGAAUCUAUUGUAGAAUAGAUCAAUAAUGACAAGUGUCGAUCCCACGAGGAAGUGGAUUUUAAUUGUGGAGAGAAUUAAUUUUUCUAAAUAGGUGGUUGGAAUUAUGGUAAAGAUAAUUUAGAAUAUCCUAAAAUUUAAAUUGAAAUGGCAGAAUUAAAUUAAAGUAGAAACUAUAAUAAUUGAAGCGCUUGGGUAACUGAAUCCGUAUCAACAUGCGCCAUGGGCUAAAUAUUCCUUAUUAGUGCCAAUUAAAUCAUGAGGGGGGAAUCCACACCUCAUGAACCACACUCUAAUCAAUAUGGUGCUAAGAGCUUAUCGUGUCAAAUAAUAAUAAUUUUGUACUAGGGAGCUAGUGAAACCAGGGCGGUAUCUAGACAAGAUUAUUAUUAUUUGUCGACGAAAAGUCAAAACAUCAACAAUAAUUAGAGGGGAAGAGAAAGUAAAUUUACCAAAUAAAGCCCAUGGCACAUGUUGAUACUUCACCUUCAACCCAAACUUGAAAGAAAAUUAGCUACUCAUAAUUUUAAGAAGAUAUUUAAAAAACAGAACUUCAACAAGCCAAAGAAAACUUCUACAUCAGUGGCUCCAACGACUCAAGAAGGUUCUUCUCACCCUAAUUCUAAAUUUUUUAAUCUUAACAAGCUUGAGGGUAUUCAAUGCAGAGAAUGUGGAGGCAUAGGACAAAUACAGACAAUGUGCUAACACUUUUAUGAAAAAGAAAGCAAUGCAAUCUACUUCGAGUGAUGAUGAUUCUAAUGAUAGCAUUGAUGAAGAAGACCUUGUUGGAGGACUUGUUGUUUAUAAUGAUGUGUCAAGAUAUACUAAUGGUAGUGAACAGGAAUCAAAUAUCAUAGAUGCAUCCAUUAUUUAAAGCCUCGCACUUAGCUCCUUACAAGGAAGACACUAAUUCCUAUCUUGACACAAUUGUAUAACAUGUUAACAAGAAUAAUAAUUCAAAUAGCAACAUUAGUGACAUUGAUAUAAAUGACAAGAAAUCUUUUCAAGAAAGCUACAAGAUGAUUUUUGCUAAAUGGGAAGAAGUCUAUAAUCAAAAUGUGACCUUGUUGACUUAAGUAUCCAAUCUUUUGGAUGAUAAUGCAAAACUUGAGAGUGAGGUGAUGAACCUUAAGGUUUAUAUUUUAAGCAACAAUUUUCUCGAUAAAUCAAAUGAGAUUAACAUUGUGAAAUAUUGUAAACUACUAAUGAAAGACUUAUAUUUUGUCUUUCUUUAUAAUUUGCAAAUGAAAUUUAGGUGAUGGCCAAUACCUAAUGAGAAGUCACAAAUUAUUUUUCCUUAAUCUUUAUGAAACUUUCAUCCUUGAGUAAUAGAAUUAACAUUACUUUUUUUUUUCCUACAUGAGAUUUAAGCUCAAUAGAUUGAAUUCACCUACUGCUUAAAUUCAUCUUGGUCAUGUAGAGUACUUGAUUUUGCAAGAAUAAAUUAUUCAUCCACAUGAAAUGCCAUAUAUCGAAAUCAUGCAUUCAACUAGGGAAAUACAUAUGCAUUUCAUGCUAUGUAAUCGAAAACCUAAAUUUUAAAGUUAACAAUGUUAAUUUAACAAUAAAUUCAAACCUUCCUUCGGUAAAGGUUGUAAAAAUACAUUGAAUUUACUACAUCUUUAUUCACGUAUUAGACAUAUAUGGGCCUUUAAUAAUAAGACUAGCAGAUAAAGAAAUGAAAUUUGAAAAUUCCAUACCUGUGGGCCUAGGAAAAUUCUUAUAAAUCGAUAUCCAAUUUACUGUUAUUCCAAUUAAAUUAUUACAAUAGUUAUCUCUUUGUAGGGCCCAUUGAUUAUUUAAUGAAUAAUUGAAAACAAUUGAUGCCAUAUAUCUUUCUAUUCAUCUUUGUAUGAUAUUAUAUAGAGAAAUUAUCAUUUAUAUACCCUAUAUUUGCUAUGUUAUUAAAAAUACUAUAAUACUUUGAGGGUGUAUCAAUCGUCUAUCCUUAAUUGACAAAAUGUAUCAGCUGACCACCAAACCGUUAGUUGUCAUUUGAAAGUUAACGGAGUUACAGUGAAUUGACGAUUUUACCCUUGAAAAUUAUCACUUUUAUACCCUUAAAUUCUCUUUUUAUCACUUGUAUACCCUUAAAUUAUCACUUGUAUCAUAUGAAAAGACCAAAUUACCCUUCUGACUUCAUCAUACUUAAACAGCAACUAACGGUUUGGUGGUCGCUGAUACAUUUUGUCAACUUACGGUGGACGAUUGAUACACCCUCAAAGUGUUUUAGUAUUUUUGAUAAUGGAGUAAACUAAGGGUAUACAAAUGAUAAUUUUCCUAUUAUAUACUUCAUCAAACAUAUAUCGUCAUAUCUUUAGAUGUUAUGGCUAUUUUCAAGAUACAAUAAUACUUAAAACUUCAAUGGUAUAAAAAAAUAAUUUAAUAGGUAAGAAACUGAUGUCGAAAUAUACACCUUUUAGAGCAAUUAAAACAUUAAGAGCAAGACUAUAUGAAUUAAUUUUAUGCAGCAAUAAAAUGCCCUGUUUAUUAGGGUUUAUCAAAAUCUUGUGUCAAAAAACAUCAAUAGGUUCAAUGGCAAAUUGGUCUUUUUGGUAUUUUUAAUUUCUUGGAUGAUCAAGUAGAUGUCAUUUUCUGAUUUUGAAGGAUCAGAAACCUUGGGAUAAGCAAUAACUAGGAUUAAAUUCGAGAUAGGAUUGAAAAUUGAUUUUGAGAGAGAUUGAAAUUUUAUGUAAUGAGUCAUAAAGACAUUAUGUUAGUUUAAUUAAAAAUUAAUAAUCAUAAUAAGUAAAGUUAAUAUU